rnacentral:rRNA from 1 species
CGGGGAUAUCAAACUCUUGUAUUAUCAGCAUCUUCUGAAUACGCCGCAAGGCAAAACAAAUAAAUUAAAACUUUCAACAACGGAUCUCUUGGCUCUGGCAUCGAUGAAGAACGCAGCGAAAUGCGAUAAGUAAUGUGAAUUGCAGAAUCCAGUGAAUCAUCGAAUCUUUGAACGCACAUUGCGCCCGCCAGCAUUCUGGCGGGCAUGCCUGUUCGAGCGUCAUUUCAACCCUCGACCUCCCUUUGGGGAAGUCGGCGUUGGGGACCGGCAGCACACCGCCGGCCCUGAAAUGGAGUGGCGGCCCGUCCGCGGCGACCUCUGCGUAGUAAACCAACUCGCACCGGAACCCCGACGUGGCCACGCCGUAAAACACCCAACUUCUGAACGUUGACCUCGAAUCAGGUAGGACUACCCGCUGAACUUAAGCAUA